rnacentral:rRNA from 1 species
AACGAACGCUGGCGACAUGCCUAACACAUGCAAGUCGAACGAGUGCCUUCGGGUGCUAGUGGCGCACGGGUGCGUAACGCGUGGGAAUCUGCCCUCAGGUUCGGAAUAACCAUUGGAAACGAUGGCUAAUACCGGAUGAUGACGAAAGUCCAAAGAUUUGUCGCCUGAGGAUGAGCCCGCGUAGGAUUAGCUAGUUGGUGUGGUAAAGGCGCACCAAGGCGACGAUCUUUAGCUGGUCUGAGAGGAUGAUCAGCCACACUGGGACUGAGACACGGCCCAGACUCCUACGGGAGGCAGCAGUGGGGAAUAUUGGACAAUGGGCGCAAGCCUGAUCCAGCAAUGCCGCGUGAGUGAUGAAGGCCUUAGGGUUGUAAGGCUCUUUUACCCGUGAUGAUAAUGACAGUAGCGGGAGAAUAAGCUCCGGCUAACUCCGUGCCAGCAGCCGCCGUAAAAC